UGUAUAUUACAGAGGGGGAUUUCCGUUUAGGUUAACCCACCUCUGUAGUAUACA
rnacentral:pre_miRNA from 1 species